rnacentral:rRNA from 1 species
AUUGAACGCUGGCGGAAUGCUUUACACAUGCAAGUCGAGCGGCAGCGCGGGGGCAACCCUGGCGGCGAGCGGCGAACGGGUGAGUAACAUAUCGGAACGUACCCAGUCGUGGGGGAUAACUAUCCGAAAGGAUAGCUAAUACCGCAUACGUCCUGAGGGAGAAAGCGGGGGAUCGCAAGACCUCGCGCGAUUGGAGGGGCCGAUAUCGGAUUAGCUAGUUGGUGGGGUAAAGGCUCACCAAGGCGACGAUCCGUAGCGGGUCUGAGAGGACGACCCGCCACACUGGAACUGAGACACGGUCCAGACUCCUACGGGAGGCAGCAGUGGGGAAUUUUGGACAAUGGGGGCAACCCUGAUCCAGCCAUUCCGCGUGAGUGAAGAAGGCCUUCGGGUUGUAAGACGUCUUUCUAGCAGGGAGGAAAGGACC